GGGUCAGUAGGUUGGUCGUGCCACCGGUACGUACUGGUCUCACUGAUUCCUCCUUCCUGAAGAACCGUAAUGCCAUUAAUUUGGUGUUGCGGGGAAACAGGACUGUUACUUUGAAAAAAUUAGAGUGUUCAAAGCAAGCUAACGCUUGAAUACAUUAGCAUGGAAUAAUGGAAUAGGACGAUCGAUCCUAUUUUGUUGGUUCCUAGGAUUGACGUA
rnacentral:rRNA from 1 species